GAACCAGUCCCUUAACCUUUAGAGCAGUUCUUCCAGGUGAUUAUUCUUGACUGCUCUGUGAACUGAAGACAAGGACGAGAUUCAGAGAAACAGAGAGGUUGCAUCCAUUUCUCAGGGCCCAGACGGUGACACUAAGGAUGAAGACCUAGCUCUGUUAUCCUUCAGGCUUUAUACCCUUCCUGUACUGGUUCCAAUCCAUAGCAAGAAACCACCCUUGAACAGUAAAUAACACGAUCUUGGGGUUCAUGGUGUGUUCAGAUAUCCCGCAACAGCAAGUCAUUCAGACGAUCAGUGCUGCUCUCUUAGCAGGGGACACUCCUCAAGCAGGACUGGAUUAAUCCAUGGGAGCGAGCAGCUGAGCCGUGAGAAGCCAGAAAGCCUGAUGUGGUCCACCCCUUUCCCUGGAAUCACUCCUUUCCAUGUGGGCUGAAUGCCCACGUGCAGCUGUCUGAUCUCAGGAUUUCUAUCAUCCAGAGUAUUCUCUGGAAGCUCCAGCGGGGUUGGCCCAGCUCCUGGCUUCCUCUCCUGGCAACAGCCUCAGGUCUUUUUGAUGAAUUGAAUGAGAAGUGGAGCCCUCAGGUCCAGUCCUGAUCCUGCAGGUGCUUGCUCAUGAAGCUUACACAGAACUCAUGUGACCACGAAGCCAAGGUGGCCGAGAGAAGGCAGCUUCCUGGAAUCUCAGCCUUCCACCAGGCCAGGAGCCAGUCUGCUGCUUCUGUCUGCCUGUACCAAGCAUCUCCCUCAGAGGGAGGAGCCAUGGCCCCAGAAGAUGCUAAGCACUAAAGGAGGCCAUAUGCUUCUACCUUACCAGGUUUUCCGAUGCCCGUGGAGGUCAGAAGAGGGUACCGGACCAAUGGAAUUCAGGUGGCUGUGGUGAGCGCUGUGGGUUGUGAGAACUGAACCUGGGUCCUCUGUAAGAAGGACAAGAGCUCAUGACUGCUUAUCUUCUCUCUGGCCCCUCAUUUUACCUUCACGGGGUCUUGCGUGGCCCAGCCUCACCUCUGAGCUGCUGCUCAGAGAAGGUGGUGGAGAGACUUCAAAGAAUGAAACAAGAUGGCGUGACCCCGGGCCCUUUGAAACUGAGCCAGACCUGGAAUCCAGCCCCUGCCUGCUUUCUUCUGCACUGAAGAAUAAGGACCUUCUAAGCCUUGUGUAUCCGCUCUUCCUUAGCCUGGGAUCGGGGGUUCAAGACCAUUCUCGCCCACUACACAGCAUGUGUGGAGCUGGGCUGGUCACGUGAGAACCCUGCCUUAAUUAAUUAAUUAAUUAAUUAAUGAGUUU
rnacentral:lncRNA from 1 species